AGAGUUUGAUCCCUGGCUCAGGAUGAACGCUGGCGGCGUGCUUAACACAUGCAAGUCGAACGAUGAAGCCCAGCUUGCUGGGUGGAUUAGUGGCGAACGGGUGAGUAACACGUGAGUAACCUGCCCUUGACUCUGGGAUAAGCCUGGGAAACUGGGUCUAAUACCGGAUAGGAACGUCCACCGCAUGGUGGUUGUUGGAAAGAUUUAUCGGUCAUGGAUGGACUCGCGGCCUAUCAGCUUGUUGGUGAGGUAAUGGCUCACCAAGGCGACGACGGGUAGCCGGCCUGAGAGGGUGACCGGCCACACUGGGACUGAGACACGGCCCAGACUCCUACGGGAGGCAGCAGUGGGGAAUAUUGCACAAUGGGCGAAAGCCUGAUGCAGCGACGCCGCGUGAGGGAUGACGGCCUUCGGGUUGUAAACCUCUUUCAGUAGGGAAGAAGCGAAGUGACGGUACCUGCAGAAGAAGCACCGGCUAACUACGUGCCAGCAGCCGCGGUAAUACGUAGGGUGCGAGCGUUAUCCGGAAUUAUUGGGCGUAAAGAGCUCGUAGGCGGUUUGUCGCGUCUGUCGUGAAAGUCCGGGGCUUAACCCCGGAUCUGCGGUGGGUACGGGCAGACUAGAGUGCAGUAGGGGAGACUGGAAUUCCUGGUGUAGCGGUGGAAUGCGCAGAUAUCAGGAGGAACACCGAUGGCGAAGGCAGGUCUCUGGGCUGUAACUGACGCUGAGGAGCGAAAGCAUGGGGAGCGAACAGGAUUAGAUACCCUGKUAGUCAUGCCGUAAACGUUGGGCACUAGGUGUGGGGACCAUUCCACGGUUUCCGCGCCGCAGCUAACGCAUUAAGUGCCCCGCCUGGGGAGUACGGCCGCAAGGCUWAAACUCAAAGGAAUUGACGGGGGCCCGCACAAGCGGCGGAGCAUGCGGAUUAAUUCGAUGCAACGCGAAGAACCUUACCAAGGCUUGACAUGUUCUCGAUCGCCGUAGAGAUACGGUUUCCCCUUUGGGGCGGGAUCACAGGUGGUGCAUGGUUGUCGUCAGCUCGUGUCGUGAGAUGUUGGGUUAAGUCCCGCAACGAGCGCAACCCUCGUUCCAUGUUGCCAGCACGUCAUGGUGGGGACUCAUGGGAGACUGCCGGGGUCAACUCGGAGGAAGGUGGGGACGACGUCAAAUCAUCAUGCCCCUUAUGUCUUGGGCUUCACGCAUGCUACAAUGGCCGGUACAAUGGGUUGCGAUACUGUGAGGUGGAGCUAAUCCCAAAAAGCCGGUCUCAGUUCGGAUUGGGGUCUGCAACUCGACCCCAUGAAGUCGGAGUCGCUAGUAAUCGCAGAUCAGCAACGCUGCGGUGAAUACGUUCCCGGGCCUUGUACACACCGCCCGUCAAGUCACGAAAGUCGGUAACACCCGAAGCCGGUGGCCUAACCCUUGUGGGGGGAGCCGUCGAAGGUGGGACCAGCGAUUGGGACUAAGUCGUAACAAGGUAGCCGUA
rnacentral:rRNA from 1 species